UUUUCGAAGGAAGGUGUUUUAUCUUUUUUAGCAUGUAUGCAUUUCCGUUAGAUAUUUUCUGAUCCUAAUACAUUAAUGUGUGUCUAGAAUUGAUUAAAGCCAACAAGUAUGUACUUGAAUUGAUUUAUGCCAACAAGUAUGUGUUUAAACAAUAGGGUGACUGUCUAUCAAAGGAUCUCUGAAAAGAAAAUUACUGAGGACGCAAAUGGUUAUCUGAACUUGAUCUAUUUAAUUAGGAGAAAACAUGGAAACUUCCGAUACAUUUAUGUCGUCAACUGGUGCAGACAAUACUACCAUGGUUUCAAAUACAACAGAAGGAUCACUUCCAGAAAUAUAUAUUUAUAUGAUCAGUGUAUCAGCUGCUCUGUUGUUGGUUUUGCUAUCAGCAGCUUGUGCAAGUUGUCUACGUAACACUAGAAAACGAUAUGGUCGAGAAUCUCGAAUAUUUAACAGAAAAAGUAACCGAAAAUCGGCCUCUGACAGACCAGUGAGUAACGCUAUGGAACUGAAAAGAGUGUCGUAUAUUUCUUCUUCAAGUGCAAGUAGAAUAUUUCCAAAACGAACACAACAUCAGCCUAUUGAAGUGUAGAGUUAAUGAAACUGGACUCUGUAAAUGGUCAUGACUUUUAUUUUAAGAU